ACAGCUGUGGGUGAAAGGGAUGUGAGGGGCACUGUGGGUCCAGGAACGUAGGGGUUGUGGGGGCACGUGGGGAGCGGUUUGGGGUGAGAAUGGAGGAUGUGCGGUGGUGUUGGAGUGCACUGGUUGAUUUCUUCCUGGGAGGGGAUUGGGGUUCCCUUUGGCCCAAAGGUGGAGCCCUGAUCCAUAACCCCACGUGAGCCCAGAGCCCCAUAUAACUCUGCAUGAGCCCAAGGCUCCCCAUGACCCAUAACCGUGUGAGCACCGUAAGCCCAUAUGAGGCUGAGGGCAGUGAUGGGUCUGUUACUGGCUAGGUCAGGAAGUACUCUAGGGUGGCUCUGGGGCCGCUGUAGAAUAGCGCUCUGUAUCUGCCCCUGACCCUCAUCUUGGGGGGUAAGAUGGGGGUGCAGGGGUUAGUGGAGGGCUAAGGAAGAGAUUCCAUGAGUAUGAACCAUAGCAGCCCCAGAGCCAUCCUAGAGCAGCGCCAUCACUGCCCAUGGCCCAUGGCCAGCAGCAGUUCCACCACAAGCUGUGUGUUGGGUCAAGGCAGCUCCUAGGUGUUGCUCUGCUUCAUAGCUGCCCCAAAGUGCCCCUGUAGCCCUCCCAUAGGUGUCCUUUAACUGCCCCACCACCCCGUAAGUCUUCCCCACGUCCUAGCACAUCCCCCCACGUGCGUGCAGGGUGUGCAAGAAACGCUCUCAUCCCUGAUAUUCCAUCAGGCACAGCCCUUCGUGCAGCAGCAAAGCUCCUUCCUGAUUGCUGUGGCGUUACUUCACUCUCCUCAGUGAGUUCCUUCUGCUCCCGUUGGGUUGGUUGAGUUGGGUUGGUUGGGAUGAGGUGGGGGCAGGGAUCCCAGAGUUCUGGGGCCACAUGGCAUCGGGUCGCAGCGUGUUGGGGGCAGGAAGGGUCAGGGAGUCACAGGGUCUUGUGGGGGUGUGGUUCACCCAGGGCUGUGGGUCACGUAUAGCCAUGGUGUCAUGCACAUACAGGGUGAUGAGAUCAUCUUGGCUUAAGGCUCAUGUGGGGUUACGGCUCAGGGCCCCACCUUUGGGCUGCAUGGACCCCCAGUCCCCUCUCAGGAAGAAAUGAAACCCCUCCUACACCGCUGCCCCCUUCCCCCCCUUUUUUUUUUUUUUUACCUCAAACUGCUCCCCACAUCCUCCCAUAGCACCCCAUACUCCCGCGUCCCUCUUGCAGCCCACAUCUUGUCUUCUCCUGAACAGCAUUCUGCUCCUGCAGGCUGUGUUGUCAUAUCCAUUCUAUAUCCCCCACAACCUCUCCCACAGACCCACAUAGCUCCUCAAGUACUUUCUCUGACCUGGUACACCUCCCCCACCGCCAACCUGGGACCUCGCAGAGCCCCACAGUCCCCAGCAGCACCCCACGUCCCCCACGGUUCUUCAAGGAUCCCUCCGAUUUGAGGGAGGCUCAGACCUCCCUUUAUGCCUCAGACCCCUCCUGUGUUCUCUGACUCCCACAGUCCCUGACAGGACCCCCAUCACCAUCCCAGGACCCCCAUAGCCCACUGAUGAGGAACCCCGCAGCAAUCCACAUCUCAGGAUGGGGCUCCAGCUUUGCCCCAAUGCCUGCAUUAAAGAGAGGAGAAUGAAUGAGCGUAACGGGGCACCUUUCCUCCUGACAUUACCAACUGCCUGCGUGUUGGCUGUGCCACGUGAGCGGCAUUUUGUCCUCGAGCUGUGAGUGCAGAUGCGCGUGCAAGGGGGCAGUGGAGGCUCCUGGGAACGGGAG
ensembl:lncRNA